rnacentral:lncRNA from 1 species
GAAGUGCUUAGCAUAGCAAUCCAGAGCCACUACCUGUUCCAGGUGCUGGACAAGCCGCUGGUAACCUCUCAGGAAGUGGUCCAGUGUACGCAGGAAGUGGUCCAGUGUACGCAGUAGGUGUCCUACCCAUCGGGUCCUGCCAUUUCUGGUGGGCACCAGUGGUGUGUGCCCAAGAGCCUGGAAGCUGUUUACCAGGUUUGCCCUGUUCAGUGGACUGGUGUGGUAGAAAGUGUAGAGCCCACUGAGGUCUUCUACUUUCUGAAAAAUGACUUUGGACCGGAUGGCAUCAGAACAGUCUGCAGCGCCAGGAGUCUGGCGACCACCGAGGCUCGUCCCGCAUGGAGGGGUGGAACAAAGAGGAGUGGCAGGACGAGGACUUCCCCAGGUACACCACGCGUCUUCCGACAACCAGGCAUACCUACAACCUGACUUAGCUGGGUGUAAUAAGAGG